GCUCUAGGAUAGCUUAGCUGGUAGAGCAUGACACUCUUAAUAUCAGGGUUGUGGGUUCAAGCCCCACGUUGGGCA